GUGAGGAAUAUUGGGCAAUGGAGGCAACUCUGACCCAGCCAUGCCGCGUGAGUGAAGAAGGUUUUCGGAUUGUAAAGCUCUUUCGGAUGUGACGAUGAUGACGGUAGCAUCUAAAGAAGCCCCGGCUAACUUCGUGCCAGCAGCCGCGGUAAUACGAAGGGGGCAAGCGUUGUUCGGAAUUACUGGGCGUAAAGGGAGUGUAGGCGGUUUAGUAAGAUAGUGGUGAAAUCCCAGAGCUUAACUUUGGAAUUGCCAUUAUAACUAUUAGACUAGAAUUACAGAGAGGAUAGUGGAAUACCCAGUGUAGAGGUGAAAUUCGUAGAUAUUGGGUAGAACACCAGUGGCGAAGGCGACUAUCUGGCUGUACAUUGACGCUGAGGCUCGAAAGCAUGGGGAUCAAACAGG
rnacentral:rRNA from 1 species